CUUCUACAUCGGCCCCAGUAGGCAGUUCAUGCGUCUAGUUGUCCUGUCAGAGGAAGAGAAGUUGUCUGUUCUCGAGGAGUGCCACAAUAACCCUGAAACUGGCAAUCAAUGUGGUGUCAGAGGCACUCAAAACAGGGUAAUUGCUGGCUACUACUGGUCUACAAUAAUCCACGAUGUAAAAGAAUGAGUGAGAUCUCGUCACCGCUGCGUAUUAAAUGAUCCCAUUAAGACUUUUGUGCCAGUCUUGCAUUCAAUUAAGGUGAAAGAAGCUCGGGAGGUGCUUGGUUUGGAUUUAAUUGGACUGCUGCCAGAAACCGCACGCAGCA